GGUCUGGAAUGAUUGACAGGUCCUAUGGAAGCGGCAGCAGAGACACUGUUCUCCUCGUUUGGAUUAAUUCUGAUAUAAUAACUGUUGGUUUAUUUAUCGGUGGAGCAGCAGAACAUUUUCCACAGACAGUUUUCCUGCCCGUUGGCUUGUUUUAACCAGUUUUCUGCCUUCGGCUGAUUCUACCAGCAGACACUGAAAGGACUCUGAUUGUUCGAGUGAAAGUAGCAGUUCCUCCUUAAGGUCAGAGAUUGCAGCAUCUGAGGGCCUCUUCAAAAGAAGACGUAGUUGAUGAAGGCGUUCUGGAGCAGGACCAGAAAGACCACGACCAAGCAGCCUUGAGAUCUUAGGCAGCGUCUCCCUCAGGUCCCUCUCUAUCUCCCCACACAUCCACCAACCACUGGAACACAUCUCCAAAGUUCUGCUGGACCAGCUCAGCUUCCCCUCAGAAGAAGUGCUGCCACCUGCCAGAUGAAGGAGCCUUUUGAGAGGCAGCUGGCAUCGUGAUUGGACUGUACUUUGGUCUGUUCCAAUCCAGCUUCAGCUCCAGAGACGGCAGGCGGGACGAGUCAACGGAGGCCUGGUGGACGAAGGCAUGCAGCUGAGUACAAUCCAGAAAACAACAGAGGAGGAGUGCAGCAGCCCAGAGCCAGAACAACCAGAGUAGCAUCGUAUGUCUCUUAGAAAACAUCAUAGUAUAGCCUUUGGUAUGAAAAAACGCCAUCAUAUACAUCGUAUAUUGUACAAAUAACAAGUCAAAGGAAAGAGACAUACAUUGUAGAAUUGUAGUAAUUGUGGGCUGACUGAUUUACUGAUUAUCAGUAUUUUAUUUUUUACUGAUUUACGGUAAUAAAUACAUUUAAAAAUGGUGCUACUUUGGCUCUGAACCUUUAUCUACCUGUGGUCGCUCUGUCUUCUGGAGUGAUUUGAUUGGUUAUACGUCACGAAUAAAACUCCUUUAACUUAACAUCUGUAAACAAAACAAAAACGUAUCAACAAAGUUUUCUGUUAGAGUUUGUGUUCUUCUAAGUUUAACUCCAAGAUUUUAAAUACUUUCAUUUACUGCAAAUGAAUAUCUACUCCAAAUGUCUCACUAAUAAUCAUUAUCAGCCUUAAAAACCCACAAAACACCCCUCUAUACUCGACCACACUUAGUACAGUCCGGUUCCCCCUUCUAUAAAUCUGCUUGGAAUCUUCCACUUCCUGUUUGUCAAAGUGGCCUUCUACCUGGACAGGUUUUGUUGGAGCUCAUGCAACAAACAUUUUGGGUAACUGCACUUUAAUAUGGAUGGAUGACACUGAAUUAGAGUCUGUUUUAAUGAGACUGAGUUAAGAUGUGUAGCUCUGUCAUUAAAUAGGAAAUUAUUUCUCAGAAUUCACAGAGAAAAGUCUGAAAUGUUUGCUAGGUUAGCGUCCCACAUGUUCUUUGGCUCAGCUAAAGCUAACUCUCUCCAACUUCUGGAUCUCUUGAGUUGCUUGUUGUUAAAAUAUCUUGCUAGAGGUGCUGAAGCUCAGAAAGUCUGAGAUGUUUGUUCAAAAUAAGCUCAUUCUCAAGUCUGAUCUGAACUGUCCUCUUUUGUUUGAACUUUCCCUAAACUUAGGAGUUAAUGACAGAGCAGCACAUCCAGACUCAGUCUCAUUUAUGUAGAGAUUAAACUUCAGUGUCAUUCAUUGAUGUUAAAGUGCAGUUUUUCAAAUGUUUGUUGCACAUGCUCCCGACCAAACCAGUCCAGGUGGAAGACGAUGUGAAGAGAAAGCUCCAGAGGAUGAAUAUCACACAUUUACGUUGGAAAUAAAUGUCCUUUAAUUAGACAUUGUCAUGCAAAAGUUGGAUUUCCCUUUAAUGAUGUUCAAAUCUUUGUUGAGUGUUUUGUUGAUGUUGGUUUCUAAAUGUUUUCUGACACUCGGCCCCAAAGAUUAAAACCUUUUACGGCUCACAAGCUGCAACAAUUCA